UAUGUGAUCGUCUCUCGCAUAUCAAUAAGCGGAGGAAAAGAAACUAACAAGGAUUCCCCUAGUAACGGCGAGUGAAGCGGGAAGAGCUCAAAUUUGAAAUCUUAAAGGGUUUCCCUUUACGAAUUGUAGUUUAAAGAAGUGUUUUCUGUUGAGGUUUUGGUAAAAGUUCUUUGGAAUAGGACAUCAUAGAGGGUGAGAAUCCCGUAUUUGACCUUUACUUUCAACUUUGUGAUACACUUUCAAAGAGUCGGAUUGUUUGGGAAUGCAGUCCAAAAUGGGUGGUAAAUUUCAUCUAAAGCUAAAUAUUGGCGAGAGACCGAUAGCGAACAAGUACCGUGAGGGAAAGAUGAAAAGAACUUUGAAAAGAGAGUUAAACAGUACGUGAAAUUGUCAAAAGGGAAGCGUUUGACACCAGUGUUGUCUUUCUGAAAAUCAAUUAAAGAACUGUUUAUGCUAAGCUGUUUAGACUUUAUCAGCUAUCUGUUUAGUUUUGAGCUUUUCUUUAAUGCACUUUUCAGUUAACAAGUCAACAUCAAUUUCUUUUGCUGUAAAAAAGCUUGAGGAAGGUGGCUUGAGAUUCGUCUUAAGUGUUUAUAGCCUCUUGCCUAUGCAGUCGGAGAGAUUGAGGUCUGCAGCGUAGAUCCUUCGGGGCUAAAUGCAUUUGUGCUAAGUUAUAGCAUUUUAUAGACAACUUGUUGACUAUGAUUUGUCUUGUAGCUUACUCGCUUAUGUUAUUUUACCUACGCUUAGGAUGUUGAACGCGCACAGAGUCUC
rnacentral:rRNA from 1 species